GACGAACGCUGGCGGCGUGCCUAAUACAUGCAAGUCGAACGGUGAAGGAGGAGCUUGCUUCUCUGGAUGAGUUGCGAACGGGUGAGUAACGCGUAGGUAACCUGCCCGGUAGUGGGGGAUAACUUUAGGAAACGAUAGCUAAUACCGCAUAGUAGUAGAUGUUGCAUGAUAUUUGCUUAAAAGGUGCAACUGUUUCACUUCCAGUUGCAGCUGCGUUGGUUUAGCUUGUUGGUGGGGUAACGGCACACUUAGGCGGAGAUACAGAGUCUACCGGGGAGGGGGGGCAGCCACACUGGGACUGAGACACGGCCCAGGCGCCCAGGGGAGGGAGCAAGAGGGAAACUUCGGCAAGGGGCGGAAAUCUGACCGAACAACGCCGCGGGAGGAAAGAAGGUUGUCGGGUCGGAAAGCACUGUUUUAGGGGAAGAACAAGUGUGAGAGUGGAAAGAUCACACUGUGACGGUAACUUAUCAAAAAGCAACGGCUAACUACGUG
rnacentral:rRNA from 1 species